CGGAUCAAACAGGCACGGUCUAUUCUAAGCGUUCAUUAAUAGCUGGUCUCUGAGGGCCUGGGCAGCAGCCAGAGGAUUUUACUCAUUAAAAAGGUGGCAAGGGACACCUGGCUUGUCCCUGAUAGGACUUGAGUUGGCCUGUAGAAAUGCAUCCUGUACAUCCACAAAUGUAAGGGAAAUAAGGCAGGAAAAUAAGUUCGAGUGAGGACUCACUGCACAACAGGUAGGCCACAGAAAGACUGGGAACUAUGCAUUUGGCUCUGAGUUUCUUAGAAGCCAAAGCAAAGAGAGAAAGAAAAACAGUUCUGAGGUUCUUAAGAGGUGCAAGGCCUGCAGCUUUGGAGGGAAGAACAACAGAGACGGAAAAAUGGGGAUAAUCUUGAUUCGGUUUUAAAAAGAACCUCAA
rnacentral:lncRNA from 10 species